rnacentral:misc_RNA from 1 species
GAUGUUCAUAUCUACAGACUGAUCAGUGAACGUACUGUAGAAGAAAACAUCUUGAAGAAAGCAAACCAAAAGAGAAUGCUUGGGGAUAUGGCUAUUGAAGGGGGCAAUUUCACUACAGCCUUCUUCAAAGAGCAGACCAUUCAUGAACUAUUCACAGAACCAUCAGGACUUGAAAGUUUAGCAGAUGAAAUAUCCAAAAAAGAGAAGUCGAAAGAGGAAGUGACUGAAAAAUCAGAAGAGACAAAUGCAGGAGGAGAUGCUGUAGAAGAAUAUAGAGUGCAAUCAGAAAAAAACAUCAUGGCUCAGUUCGAAAAGGUUCUGGCAAAGGCUGAAGACGAGACCGAUGCACAAGCAACUGAUCUUGUAAAAGCUGAACAGAAAGCAGAAUUGGCAGAGUUUGAUGAAGACAUUCCAUGGGAUGAGAGAGAAGCUGAACUUAAAAAAGAAGAGGAGCUCUCCAAAGUGGAACAAGAAAUUGCUAUGUUAGACAAAGAGCUUACUCCUGUUGAGAGAUAUGCAGUCAACUUCAUUGAAAUUGAGACUGACCCCAUGGAGGAGUUAGAAAUUGGAGAGGAUGACAUAGAGAAUGUAAAAAAAGACUGGGAACUUGGAAGACUAAAGGCAUUAAAAGAGGAAGAAGAGAGACGAGCAGAACUAGAAGAGGAUGAAAUGUUGUACAUUUAUUCAAGGGAUGAUGCAUACAACCAGGUGAAGAAAAAGUCUAAAAAAGCCCAGAAGGCAAACAAAGCGGCUGCCAAAGUUGUCACUCCAUCUCGCAUAACCCCUGUCAGAAAUAAACCUAAACAAUUUAUUGAUGAUGAGUAUGUACUAUCCUCAGGAAGGUCUGUAAAGAUUACACCCAGAGUAACAGCUUAUAAGAAUAGUAUCUCUCCUAGAUUUAGUGUUGGGCGGAGCAAAAAGUCCAACAAAGUUUUAGCAAAAGCUGAAGCUGUCGUAGUGAAUGAAGAAGGAGACCGGUCUAUUAAUGUUACAUACAAAAGCACUUCAAAAGCUAUCAAAAUUAAAAGGAAAGUUUUAAUUGAUAAUAAUGUUACGAUUCCAAAUGAUGAAGAUGUAAUACCUCUAGAGAAAACACCCAAGUUAGUGCAAAAGAAAGGACGUGGGAGACCCUCCAUUUUAAAGCAAGGUAGAGAUAAGCCUCCUUGCACAUUUUCAACCCCACAGCAACCUGUGAUAAAUUCUACUUCUCCCCAGAAAAUGGUUCAAUUGCCAAAGGCUGUCAUUCAACAAGCCCAAGUACAACCAGCCAAAACACAGCAAACCCCUACCACUCAACCAACUAUUGCACAGCUUAUGUAUCAAGCUCAUCAGCAAACAUCCUCAAUUCAGUUUGCUAGGCAGUCUGCCCCCACUUUGCCUAACCAGACUAUUAGUACCUCUCAAUUGUUAUCUGCUUCCCAACUACAACAUCUUAAACAAAUCAUAUCUAAAGCUGCCCACACCAAACUAGCUUCACCCAAAGGGAGUACAACAGGUAUAAUUCAAACUGGUCAACCAAAUUUGCAUCAGUUGACUGUAAAAUCAAACCAAAACCAGCCAGCCAUACAGCUUGUUGGACAUACGUCAGUGAUUGCUCAACCUCAGACAGUUAAUGUGUCCCCUCAGGUUUCUCAGAUUGUCAAUCAGGGGCAAAAUCAGACCAUUCAGUAUCUAACUCAACCGUCAUCAUUGACCUCUGUUAGACCUGCACAAGCAAUACAACAAGUAGUGUCCCAUAAUAGUGCAGGACAACCAACCUUACAAUUUAUUAAGGUCAAUACAUCAAAUGCACAGCAGCCUGUCUUGCAAUACUGUGUCAACACUUCAGGGGGUAAUACAGGUCAAGUUAGAAUCCAAAAUGCUGCUCAACAAAAUCAGCAAGGUGUUGUACUUCUUCAGUUGGGAGGGGGUAAAGCUAUUCCCAUGUCUUUAGGUCAGAGAUCUCCUUUAUCUGUCCCAAUAGCCAGACUUGUAGCAAGCAGAUCUGUAGCAAACACCAGCCAAAAAAUUGGCAGUUUAGUGCAGCAGAAUGCAACUCCACAGCAUUUUGUUGCAAGGGCUGUACAGCCGACUAGAAUUUCUGCACCAAUAUCAAGAUUCCAAACUGCUAGUGUAGCAAGUCUAGGCAGUCCGGGUUUUCCGAAUAAUACAGCAGUAUCUAGUCAUCAACCCCACAAUAUACCUACUGUAGUGCAAACGAGGUAUAGAAUUCCUAAAAUUGGUCAGCAACAGCUGAAGGAAACUCCCUCUAAUACCCAAAGUGCACCCACCCCUUUUUGGAACCCCAAUCUUGUUAUCCGCACCAGAAAGGCUGUUGCACCUAAAGAAGUUGUAGAACGGGGAGGUAAAAGUGACAAUCUUCCUUUUGUUAUUGGAAAAUCCAACCCACAUGCAGCACAAACUAGUUCUAAUGGAGGGUCCCCCAAUCAGUUUAUUAGUUUAUUAAAAGCUGGAUCAGCCUCUGGUCAAGUGUCUAAUGUUGUGAUAAAAGAAAAUGCUGUUAUAUCCUCUCAGGGGAUGGUGGUUGUGAGUCAAGCAAAUAGCGAGGCUCCGAUAACUACCAAUGGACCUACAGUUAAUCAGGUGAAUAAUGUUAAUUAAGAAAAAGUGAACUAUUCUGAAUUGUAUUGAAUGAGAAGAAUACCAGAGCUUUGUGUGAAUGAGAAUGUUGUGAAUAUUUUUGAUAUAUUUUAAUGUGUUUAAUAAUGAAUUUCAUGAAAAUUUUUAUUUUGAUUUUUAAACUUUCGGAACAUUUAAUAUAGGUUGUUUUCAAAUAUUGUAUGAGUUUGAAAUAUCCCUGAGACAUAUUAUUUCAGAUUUUGUGAUAUCGCUUACAGAGUAAACUUAGUUUGCCUGUUACUGUAUGAAUGUAUUUGACAUUGCACUGUAUAUGUACACACAUGUAACAUGUUUUUUGUUAUAUACAAACAUGUGACUGAAAAUUUCAGAUGAAAAGAAAAAUAAACCGAUAUUUUGUUGC